GAGUUUGAUCUUGGCUCAGAACGAACGCUGGCGGCAUGCCUAACACAUGCAAGUCGAACGGGAUCCUGGUUUCGGCCAGGUGAGAGUGGCGGACGGGUGAGUAACGCGUGGGAACCUGCCCAGUGGUGGGGGAUAACUGCGGGAAACUGCAGCUAAUACCGCAUGAGCCCGAAAGGGGAAAGAUUCAUCGCCAUUGGAGGGGCCCGCGUUCGAUUAGGUAGUUGGUGGGGUAAUGGCCUACCAAGCCUGCGAUCGAUAGCUGGUCUGAGAGGAUGAUCAGCCACACUGGGACUGAGAUACGGCCCAGACUCCUACGGGAGGCAGCAGUGGGGAAUAUUGGACAAUGGGGGCAACCCUGAUCCAGCCAUGCCGCGUGCAGGAUGAAGCAUCUAUGGUGUGUAAACUGCUUUUGUACGGGAAGAAACAGCUCUUCGUGAAGAGCCUUGACGGUACCGUAAGAAUAAGGAUCGGCUAACUCCGUGCCAGCAGCCGCCGCAGUAAG
rnacentral:rRNA from 1 species